AGAAGCACAGAAGAAGCUCCUAGCCAACACCAAUCAAAGCUUCCAUCCAAUCCCAAGCAACCUCGACGAUGUCUUGCUGCGGAGGAAACUGCGGCUGCGGCAGCGCCUGCAAGUGCGGCAACGGCUGCGGCGGCUGCAACAUGUACCCGGAGGCCGAGGCCGCCGGCGCCACCCUCCUCGUCUCCGCCACCGCCACCCACAAGGCGUACGUCCCUUCUCUUCUCCUCAGCUCAUACAUCAUCAUGCACUCGAUCGUAAUAGAGAGAAUAUGACUGUAUGUUGAUCUUGGUAUGGAUGGGGUACGUGCAGGAGCUCCAGCGGCAUGGAGAUGGCGGCGGAGAACGGCGGCUGCGGCUGCACCCAGUGCAAGUGCGGCACCAGCUGCGGCUGCUCCUGCUGCAGUUGCUAGAUCCAUCAUCGGUCAUGCAUGCACCGCGUGCAUCAUAUCUUUGAUCGAUCCAUCCAUCUACUUACCAUGUAACGCUACCUGAUCGAGGGUCUUUGUAUGUAUGUACGCACCUGCCUGCAUGAGCAGAGCAGGUGCCAUGCCAUGCAUGUAAACCCCUAAAUAAAAUCUCCCGUGGUUUAACCUAUAUAAAUGCGUUUGUGUUAUAGACCAGCUUCUGGCCCACGUUUACUAUCAACUUGCAAGGUGCCUGGGUUGUUAAUAGACCAGCUGAAUGAGCUUCAGGUGCUACAUUCGUGAAAAGGACUCGUGGUUUAUAACGCAUAUUGUAGCCUAGUAGCCACAUAUCAGCUGCGCUCAAUAUGCAGGAUUUCCAUUGGAUCAGAUCUUUCGCUUUGACGAAUUUGGACCUAGCGAAAAGGAUUCUUAAGCCUUCGCGCAAACAAGCAAAGUAGAAGCAAGACGAGGAAGUGGAGCUGUCGUAGAAGCAGUAGCUUCCCCCGACAAUAUACAAUACAACAGUAGCGACCAUGAAUAAAAAAGCCCCUUGUUUAACGAGUUCGCUGCUUUUCCCAGGCCGGAGAAGGGCAACUACUUAUUGAUUGAUCGCCUUUCUUUGAUAUGUGUUCAAUUUAGUAUAAUACAAACUACAACUAGAUCAAAGCGGAAGGGCCACUCACUAUAGAAGCUAUAACUAGAAAAGCCCUAGCCAAUAGUUUAGUAGUCGGCCAAACCCCCAUGCUCACGACAUGUUCUUGAUAUUGAUUGAGUUGGAGAGAGUCAGAGACUACCACGGAAUCCUUCCAUAGUCACCCCGGUGACCUUCGUCACCAAAGCGUCACAACAGUUUCCAAGACCCCUCAUAUAAUCUCCAGUGGGGAUCAGUCGGAGCACAUAAGAAUGCCGACCACUACAUAAGCCGCUGGCGGAGAAAGCUCGAAGAGCUUCCCUUCAUUCGCUUCGCGGGAGUCGCACACAGCACAUAGCUGGAAGUCAGAGGGCCCGUACUACCUGCCUAACCCUUCGCUCUGAGGGACCGUAGAACGGAAAGCGCCUUCUAAACAACUCGGCAGAAGGGAAGGGGCCUAUGUAUUUGCAUGACCCCUGCGGAUUUGACCCUACCUACACCCGGAGCCAACCCCCUAGCGGUCCUGCCACCACGCCGCAGAACAGGAGCUCGUGUGGAACCUUGGAUUUCUGGCAUAACAGCGAUGGAAGGUAUCAAAAUAUUACGGCCGCAUAACCAUAACAUAGUAUAUACGCUAAGGUCGGCCAAAAUAUGGACACCCGAAGGGCCCGGCGUGCACAAUCCUAUCCUAUCCGAGCCCGUCAUUGCAUGCACUUCGGACAGCCGUCCGUAGCAUCAUAAGGAGCACCUCCCUUUCGAGGUACCCAAAUGGAACGGUCUUUAUUUGUGUUGUUGGUUGGUCUUUCUCAAUGUGGUCUAUAGCACGAAUAACCAUUCUUUACAAGAUAGGGCCGUUCACAUGAAAGAAAAUACAAAAUCCAUUCUUCAUGGUCGGACGCAUUUCUCCAAAUCCUCCAGGAUCACAAGUGGAAUGCUAAGCAAGGGUGGGGAGGCUGCGAGCUCUGCGUCGAAUAGAAAGAAGCAAGCGGGGGUGUUGCCGUAGCGCGCCGGAGAGCAAGCGUAGGCAACCAAACUAAAUAAGGCUACAAAAGUAGCUAGCUAGCGUUUUUAAGCUGGCUGCCUUUUCUAGCGCGCGUACUCUUCUGUGGAGUCGCAAGGAACGAGCCUUGUCUUCCCUCCAACGACUAGCUCCCUUUUCUUAUUUCGGUCACCCUUCUCUUGUCGUGGAAGGACUUUUGCUUGUGGUGUGGUCCAACCCGUGGACGGAGUCGUCCUCAUCCCCCCAUUGCUCAGUGCUCCCUGCAGCUUCGCUGGGCUUUACCCGCGUGGGCGCGGGCUUCUAUAAGAGAAUGAAAAGCUCUCUUUUUACAAUAAAAUGCGAACCACACGGAGCCCACCCUUUUUCGUUUUUUGCCGCCACUGGGUGGCCACAGGGGAAACACAUCCCGGCCGCCUCUCAGGAAAGGGGGGUGGGCCUACCUAUCCCGAGGGAGCAGCUGAGAGGUUCAAUAUGCCGAGCCGAAGGGCAGAACUUCAAUGCGUGAUCAUAGUAUGUCACCUCGUCUCGUCCUCGCAGCAUCGAAGAGUACCUAUGCACUAUGUUCGGUUCACUGAUAAGGAAGAUAGAGUUGGGGUGGGGGUCUACGAUGUGAUACUAUAGUAUGCCCCGGGGAGAAAGAUGCGCAACUCAAAACGGAAGCAGGAAGCGUGUUGUCAAAAAUGUUGGAGGUUACCAGAUCUCCGAGACUACCAUUGAUCCGACAGAGCGGAACGACCAGAAAAAGAAGUGGAGUUAGAAAGCCGUAUGAUAGGUGGUAACUAUCUUGUACGGUUCGGGGGGUAAGCGGCGUACUCUGGGGGAAUAUUAGGCUCUAUCGACCAUACAGGGAAUUGGAGGUAGCAUUUUACUUAUGUUAAGUCAUGGACUAGUUUCUUCAGCCCUUUUUCUAUGUGUUGGUGUUCUAUAUGACCGACAUAAACUCGACUUGUGAGAUAUUAUGGAGGUUUAGUGAGCACCAUGCCAAAUUUCUCUACCAUUUUCUUAUUUUUCACUUUAGCCAAUAUGAGUUUACCUGGCACUAGCAGCUUUAUCGGGGAAUUUCUAAUCUUAGUAGGAGCUUUCCAAAGAAAUUGCUUAGUAGCCACAUUUGCUGCGCUUGGGAUGAUUUUAGGCGCGACAUAUUCCCUUUGGCUAUAUAAUCGUGUGGUUUCUAGAAAUUUAAAACCCGAUUUCCUCUAUAAAUUCUCUGAUCUAAUUGGUAGAGAAGUUUCCAUAUUUCUACCUUUUCUUGUUGGAGGGGCGACCGUCCGUUGAACUACCAAAAAAGGGUAAACCAAUGUGAUCAUGACAUUGUAGGAGCUUGCGAUGGGACGGAUGUGACUUCCCUCAUAAGUAAUGGGUGGCAUAGCUCGUAGCAGAAGUCCCCUUUUUUAUCCAUUUCUUUAUUACCCCAGAGGGGCCCAGCCUUGCGGGACCGAGAGAAAGAAAGGACGGGGGGCGACCAUGCAUGGCACUUCUCGACCGUGUCUCCGAGGAAUAGUUGAACGAGCGACUCAUGAAAGCUACCGGGUCGGACGAGCCAAUAACUCGAACGUGUUCAGUCAGUUUUUUGAGCAAGAAUCACAGUGUUACCUUACCUUCACCAUGAUACGGACUCCAAGUUCUUAUGGCAGAGCACGAGGAGUUUCCUUCAAUAUGAUGAUGAGAAUGGAAACCAGAAGCACGACUGGGUCUUCAUAGUCCGAGAUCAUACUUAUAUAUCAGUCACAGUAAUGUAAGCAUGAAAAUUUUUGGUAGUACCGGUGAACCAGAUGGCCGCAGCGAGGGAAUCUGGGAUGGAGGACUCGUAAUAUCUCUAUAGAUCUAGCAAAAGCGAAAGACCCUAACAUCAGGGGCUGACCAAUGAGCUCACUCAGGCCCCGCUGGGCGGUCCAAAGUGGGUGCGAGCUGGAAUUGCCAUAGCUUAUGGUUAGAGCAAUAGGAAAGGGCCCUACAGAGAGAACAGUCGGGAUAACGAGCGUGGAGCCCACUUGGCAGGCAGCAGGAGCAGCGGGCAAGUGCUUGCUUGGUAGGCUAACAGCCCUGUGAAUCGGGCGGGGCACUCGACGAAAGGGGGGCAUGCUGAGCAAGUACGCAAAAUUGGCCCUGUGGAGCUUUCAAAAAGAAAAGCAAGGACCACUACGGGAGGUCGAACCACGGACCGGAGGUAGUAGAACGUGAUCCGCACCGGUCAAUAUUGGAUCAAACAAUAGGGGACCAUAGCACUGACCCUUUUUUCAAGACAAUAGGUAUUGUUCCCUACCAAGACAAGGGACACUCUCAACGGAUCCUCCACGCGCUGGGCAUACCAUAGUUCUUCCGUUCGUCUUUAUCAUGGCGGAAACAGAACAAGAGGGAAAGACCCGGCCGACUCGCCAAGGGCUCGAGGGCGAGCCAUACGUGAGUGAGUCGAAUUCUGUUUACGUACUCGGUUUGGGUUCGGGCCCCUCUCGAUCUUUUGCGUAUAAGGGAAGGGGGAAGGAGUCUAAAUCUAUGGACAUUAAUGAACCACCAUUGAUGGACGUUGCACAUGACACAAGAAAUUUGACUCGACGAUCCGGUGCUAAUAGAAGUCGCUUACUCUCCGCCUAGCGAAGGUGCCAGAUCCUUAAAAUAAAGUAUCUAUCAGCCUAGUGUACCAACCACGUGGUACGACGGGCACUCAAAGACCUGACGAAUGAGGGGCCACCCCACCUAAGAGUGCUUAUGUCAUAUGGGAACUCUCGGCUGGAAACAAUCCUUAUGGUUUUUAUAUCCGGUUAGAAUAAUAAGAAAGAAUCAAAGUCCAUGUUGGUUGGUGAGCCUAGUGAUAGGAGACUAUCUAGCUUGGUUCAGAGAGCACUUGUUGGGUUUCAAAUUCAUUUUUUGCUAAAUGUUACGGCCUAAAUGUUGAACUAUUGACCCUACUUGUUCGGAUGGGUGUUCACCCCAAAGUGUUCCCGGACUGCAUGCAUACAUCCGUAAGUAACUUAGUGCAACAUGGCAAAUUUCAUUGAGUAGAAUCAGCAAACAAAAUAAAUCUUCUCCGGGUGACAGGGCCGCCUCGUUAAUAGACCAUGCAUAUUGUCGAGUUUUGUGUUUUAUAGCGCAAGAUUUUGUUUUUACAAAAGGUGGAUUCCAACAAGACACGAUGGUAUGCGUAUCUUGUAGUCUAUCUGUCUUCUUGAGAAAAUACAUUAAUGUCUCGUGGUGUAGUAGGUUAUCACGUCAGUCUAACACACUACAUGGCGAAGCCAAAUUGUUAUUGUUUUUUUUCCUGCAAAACUACAAAAUGCACCAAUAAAUCUUUGUCAUUUGCUAGUUUCCCAUUCUCGCGACUCUUAAUAUGAAGCCCAUGAAGACAUUAAAGAUAGCGGUGGACAGCUAAGGGCCUAAGGCCCAAGGGCGACUUAGGGCCCGUAGGUAUAAACCGCCAUAUAUGUAAAACGUGUAUUGUAAGGCAUGUAAAGAUAGUCACUGAGUCGGACACGUUGUCUAUGAGCCAUCCGGGACUCUAUGAUCCGCUGGGCGUCGACCUGUCUAUAUAAAGGGACGACCCGACGGCGGUUCAGGACAAGAAACAAGAGAUCGAAAGCUAGGUCAAGCAGAUUUGCUCCCUGAUAAUCGAGACAUAAAAAAUACCACCCAAAACUGGAUUAUAGGCUUUUACCUUCACCACAAGGGGCCGAACUAGUAUAAACCCUGUGUCCUUUGUCCUAUUUAACCCCUUUAAGCUAACCUAGAGGCGAUGGCUCCACGACUAAGUCCUUUCACGAGGACAUUUGUCGUGACUAUUCCACGACAGCUCUCCUCCCGAUGAGCACGUGCAGGUGUCUGAUCGCAUGCCUUCGGUAAUCAAAUAGCUACCCCACAUGGCACCUCCUAGCCAAUAAAAAAAGGAACGCGUGGUGGCACGUAAUUGGUAAGUAGAACGCCCACGGUUUCAAUAAUAGUUGUGUUUCCGAUUUGUAACGUGACAACACUUGUUCCAAAAUGACUUUGUUGAUUUUUAAUGUGUGCGUCUUCGCAAAUCGGACAGAAAAAUUACCACAGCAUGUUGGUGCCAUGUCAUGACACCAUGCCAAGUUUCAUGAUUUUCAGGCAUGUUUUGGACACCAUGCCAAGUUUCAUGAUUUUCAGACGUGAUUUUCAAGCAUGUUUUGGACACCAUGCCAAGUUUCAUGAUUAACCGCAGAAUGUUGGUGUCAUCAUGACACCAUGCCAAGUUUCAUGAUUUUCAGACGUGUUUUGGAUUUACAUCAAUUAAAAAACCAAGUUUCUCAAUCUUUCCGGCCGAGCCAUGACGCCCAGAUGUUUGAAUUUCAUUCUCAUUUCUUGCACGGGACUUAGAAAUUCACCCAAGAACACACAUGUGAUUUUUCAACCAACUUUGGUGCACUGGAGCAUGUGCUUGUAGUUCAAAUUUGAAUUAUGCAUAUUAAAUGCCCGGAAAUUCAACUAAUGUAUAAAAGAGUCCAAAUGAAUCCAGAAUAAUUCCACAAUUUUGCAUGAUACUUCUAUUUGGUCUAAUAUGCCCGUGUAAAAAAAUUAAGGUGGGAGAAGACAGUGUACGUAUGUCGUUUCGCACACGGAGGUGACACGUUCCCUCUCGGAACCACGAGCCUUCUUGAGAGAAGCUCCAGUUUGCAAGAAGCUUAUACCAAAGCUUGUCCCAAUUCGGCCAAAAAAAUAAUCGCAACAUGUUGGUGCCAUGUCAUGACACCAUGCCAAGUUUCAUGAUUUUUAGGUGUGUUUUGGAUUUACAUGAAUUAAAAAACCAAGUUUCUCAAAAUUUCCAGCCGAGCCACGACGCCCAGAUGUUUGAAUUUCAUUCUCAUUUCUCGCAUGGGACCUAUAAAUUCACCCAAGGACACACAUGUGAUUUUUUUCAACCAACUUUGGUGCACUAGAGCAUGUGCAUGUAGCUUAAAUUUGAAUUAUGCACAUUAAAUGACCAAAAAUUCAAUUAAUGUAUAAAAAAGGUCAAACAAACCCGGAAUAAUUCCAAAAUUUAGCACGAUACUUAUAUUUGGUCUAAUCUGCCUGUGUAAAUAAAUUAAGGCGGAGGAAGGCAGUGUACGUAUGUCGUUUCGCACAUGGAGGUGACACGUUCCUCUCGGAACCACAAGCCCUGUUGAGAGAACCUCCGGUUUGCAAGAGGCUUAUACCAAAGCUUGUCCCAAUUCGGCCAAAAAAUUUACCGCAGAAUGUUGGUGUCAUCAUGACACCAUGCCAAGUUUCAUGAUUUUCAGACGUCUUUUAGAUUUACAUCAAUUAAAAAACCAAGUUUCUCAAUCUUUCCGGCCGAGCCAUGACACCCAGAUGUUUGAAUUUCAUUCUCAUUUCUUGCACGGGACCUAGAAAUUCACCCAAGAACACACAUGUGAUUUUUCAACCAACUUUGGUGCAUUGGAGCAUGUGCUUGUAGUUCAAAUUUGAAUUAUGCAUAUUAAAUGACCAUAAAUUCAAUUAAAGUAUAAGAAAGUCCAAACGAACCCGAAAUAAUUCCAAAUUUUAACACGGCACUAAAAUAGUUCUAUGUUGCCUCUGUAAAAAAAUAAGGGGGCGGGAGGCAGCAUAUAUCGUUUCGAACACAAAGGUGACAUGUCCCCCCCCCCUCGGGAACCACGAGUCUUCUCGAGAGAAGCUCCGGUUUGCAAGAAGCUUAUACCAAAAACUUGUCCAAAUGCAGCCAAUUGUUUUACCUCAACAUGUUGGUGCCAUGAAAUGACACCAUGCUAUGUUUCGUGAUUUUCAUGUGAGUUUUGAAUUUCCAGGAAUUUAAAAAUCAAGUUUCUCAAUGUUCCUGACCGAGCCACGACGCCCAGAUAUUUGAAUUUCAUUCCCAUUUCUUGCAUGGGGCCUAUAAAUUCAGCCAAAGACACACAUGUGAUUUUUCAACAAAUUUUGGUGCACUGGAGCAUGUGCUUGUACUUCAAAUUUGAAUUAUGCACAUUAAACGUCAAGAAACUCAAUUAAUCCAUAAAAAUGCCAAACAAAGCCGGAAUAAUUCCAAAUUUAAACAUGACAAUCAUGUAGUUGCAUGUUCACUGUACAUAAAUGUUCUAGCAAUUCAAACACCAUCCCUUCCCUCCAUAACACUGAUAACCCACAAGUGUAGGGGAUCGCAACAGUUUUCGAUAAGUAAGAGUGUCGAACCCAACGAGGAGCUAAAGGUAGAAUAAAUAUUCCCUCAAGUUCUAUCGACCACCGAUACAACUCUACGCACGCUUGACGUUUGCUUUACCUAGAACAAGUAUGAAACUACAAGUACUUUGUAGGUGUGAUAGGAUAGGUUUGCAAGAUGAUAAAGAACACGUAAAUAAAAAGUAGGGGCUGUUUAGAUAAAGAUGCAAUAAAGUAAAUAUAGCGAGUGUGGAAAAGUGGUGGUAGGAGUUGUGGAAUUGUCCCUAACCAAUUGACUAUGUUACUAGACCGGUAAUCACUAUUGCAAUUCUAUUUGAGGGAGAGGCAUAAGCUAACAUACUUUCUCUACUUGGAUCAUAUGCACUUAUGAUUGGAACUCUAGCAAGCAUCCGCAACUACUAAAGAUUCAUUAAGGUAAAACCCAACCAUAGCAUUAAAGCAUCAAGUCCCCUUUUAUCCCAUAUGUAAACAACCUACUUACUCGGGUUUGUGCUUCUGUUCACUCAUGCCACCCACCAUAAGCAAAUCAUAAACAUAUUGCAAACCCUACAGCGGGAAUCCCUCACGCUUGCGCGACACGGAGGGCACCAUAGGACAGCACCAAUAAUAAAACAUGCAACUCAAACCAAUCAUAGCAAUUCAUCAAUCACCGAUAGGACAACGAAAAUCUACUCAGACAUCAUAGGAUGGCAACACAUCAUUGGAAAAUAAUAUGAAGCAUAAAGCACCAUGUUCAAGUAGAGAGUACAGCGGGAUGCGGGAGAGUGGACCGCUGAAUAUAGACGGGGGAAGGUGAUGGAGAUGUUGGUGAAGACGGCGGAGGUGUUGAUGUAGAUCGCGGUGAUGAUGAUGGCCCCCGGCAGCGUUCCGGUGCCACCGGAAGCAAGGGGGAGAGGGCCCCCUUUCUUCUUAUUCUUCCUUGACCUCCUCCCUAGAUGGGAGAAGGGUUUCCCCUCUGGUCCUUGGCUCCCAUGGCGUGGGAGGGGCGAGAGCCCCUCCGAGAUUGGAUCUAUCUCUCUGUUUCUGCGUUCUCUGAUUCUACCCCUUCACCGUUUCCUUUAUAUCUGGAGAUCCGUAACUCCGAUUGGGGUGAAUCUUUUGCUCAGAUUUUUCUCGUAAAAUUAGCUUUCUUGCGGCAAAAGUAGAGCAUCAACCAUCUUACGGGUGGCCCACGAGAGCCCAGGGCGCGCCCAGGGGUAGGGGGCGCGCCCCCUGUCUCGUGGCCACCUCGGACACUGUUUCGCGUUGAUUCUUCCUCCGGAAAAUCCAAAUUUUACAAAAUAAUUCUCCGUCCUUUUUAUCCCGUUUGGACUCCGUUUGAUAUUGGUUUUCUGCGAAACAUAAAACAUGCAACAAACAGGAACUGGCACUGGGCACUGGAUCAAUAUGUUAGUCCCAAAAAUAGUAUAAAAAGUUGCCAAAAAUAUAUGAAAGUUGAAGAAUAUUGGCAUGGAACAAUCAAAAAUUAUAGAUACGACGGAGACGUAUCAGCAUCCCCAAGCUUAAUUCCUACUCGUCCUCGAGUAGGUAAAUGAUAAAAAAAAUUGAUGUGGAAUGCUACCUAGCAUAAUCUUGAUCAUAUGUCUAAUCAUGGCAUGAAUAUUAAGAUACGAGUGAUUCAAUGCAAUAGUCUAUCGUUUGACAUAAAAACAAUAAUACUUCAAGCAUGCCAACCAAACAAUUAUGUCUUAUCGAAAUAACAUAGCCAAAGAAAGCUCAUCCCUACAAAAUCAUAUAGUCUGGCUAUGCUCCAUCUUCGUCACACAAAAUACUACCAUCAUGCACAACCCCGAUGACGAGCCGAGCAAUUGGUUCAUACUUUUUAAAGCGCUUCAGCUUUUUCAACUCUUACGCAAUACAUGAGCGCAAGCCAUGGACAUAGCACUAUGGUGGUAUAUGGUGGUGGUUGUGAGGACAAAAAAAGGGAGAAGAUAGUCUCACAUCAACUAGGCGUAUCAAUGGGCUAUGGAGAUGCCCGUCAAUAGAUAUCAAUGUGAGUGAGUAGGGACUGCCAUGCAACGGAUUCACUAGAGCUAUAAAUAUAUGAAAGCUCAGCAAAAGAAACUAAGUGGGUGUGCAUCCAACUUGCUUGCUCACGAAGACCUAGGGCAUUUUGAGGAAGCCCAUCAUUGGAAUAUACAAGCCAAGUUCUAUAAUGAAAAAUUCCCACUAGUAUAUGAAAGUGAAAGCAUAGGAGACUCUCUCUAUGAAGAACAUGGUGCUACUCUGAAGCACAAGUGUGGUAAAAAGAUAGUAACAUUGCCCCUUCUCUCUUUUUCUCUCAUUUUUUUUCAUUUUUUCUUUCUUUUUGGUGGGCUUCUUUGGCCUCUUUUUUUAUUUGGGCUUCUUUGGCCUCUUUUAUUUUUAAUAAAGUCUAGAGUCUCAUCCCGACUUGUGGGGGAAUCAUAGUCUCCUUCAUCCUUUCCUCACUGGAGCAAUGCUCUAAUAAUGAUGAUCAUCACACUUUUAUUUACUUACAACUCAAUAUUACAACUCGAUACUAGAACAAAGAUAUGACUCUAUAUGAAUGCCUUCGGCGGUGUACCGGGAUGUGCAAUGGUCUAGCAUAGCAACGACAUCAAAAAAACGGACAAGCCAUGAAAACAUCAUGCUAGCUAUCUUACGAUCAUGCAAAGCAAUAUGACAAUGAAUUCUCAAGUCAUGUAUAUGAUGAUGAUGGAAGUUGCAUGGCAAUAUAUCUUGGAAUGGCUAUGGACAUGCCAUAAUAGGUAGGUAUGGUGGCUGUUUUGAGGAAGGUAAAUAAUGAGUUCAUGAUACCGGCGAAAUUUGCUCGGCACAAUAGAGGCUAGCAAAGUGGAAGGGUGAGUGUGUGUAUAUCCAUGGACUCACAUUAGUCAUAAAGAACUCAUAUACUUAUUGCAAAAGUCUACUUAGCCCUCGAAGCAAAGUACUACUACGCAUGCCCCUAGGGGGAUAGAUUGGUAGGAAAAGACCAUCGCUCGUCCCCGACUGCCACUCAUAAGGAAAGCAAUCAAACAGCACAUCAUGCUCCAACUUCAUUACAUAAUGGUUCACCAUACGUGCAUGCUACGGGACUUGCAAACCUCCACACAAGUAUUUCUCAAUUUCACAAUUACUCAACUAGCACGACUCUAAUAUCACCACCUUUAUAUCACAAAACUAUUGCAAGGAAUCAAACAUAUCAUAUUCAGCGAUCUACAAGUUUAUGUAGGAUUUUAUAACUAACCAUGUGAAUGACCAAUUCCCGCCAUCUCUCUAAAAAGAUAUAAGUGAAGCAAGAGAGUUUAAUUCUUUCUACAAAAGAUAUGCCCACGCUCUAACAAAUAUAAAUGAAGCAAAAGAGCAUUCUACAAAUGGCGGUUUUCUAUGUGAAGAGAAACAGGCAAUCCAAACUUCAAACGAUAUACGUGAAGCACAUGAAGCAUCCACUACUAGGGAAAAGCCUAGCAGCAGCGCGGGUUUUAGGCCUAUCAGUAGCGUGGGCAGGAGCGCUACUGAUAAGGCGCUACAGCUAAAGCUUAGCAAUAGCGUGCCUAGACCCACGCUACUGCUAAAUUGACUUAGUAGUAGCGCUUCUCCAGAAGAGCGCUACUGGUAAUUAGUAGUAGCGCUUCUCCUUGCCCGCACUACUACUAUUAUUUAGUAUUUUAUUUCUUUUUUAUUUCAUGUUGUAUUCAUACACCUUUACACAAGUUUUCAUACAACAGGAAUUUAGAGAUUGUUUUUACAUCAUAAUGAGUUAUUACAUCACGGGGUGAAAGAACCAUGGACUAGUUUCAAGUGGAUGUCCAUCCACUUGAAACUAAUCCGCGGUUCUUUCACCCAAUGAUAUAAUAAUAUCAUCAUCAUCAUCAUAUCAUUAACAACUUAUCAUCAUAAUACAUCAUUGUCAUAUAACACCUCCUCAAGAUCAACUUAGCAAAUUGGUCACUAGUCGUAAUCACAAGUACUCCUCAUUAUCAACUCUAACACAUUACCACAUAAUAAACAUAUUGUACCUCAUAGGGCCUACUACAUUCGAUUAAGACCUACUACAUUUUCUAAGGUAAAAUAGCAAAAAAACAAGAUAGCCCCUGACUCUCCAUUAUGGAGAAUGGAGAUUAGCCUGUCUCCAAUUCUUUCCUUUCGCUGAAUGUUACUUCCAAGAACCUCCUUGCGAAUGUCCAUACAUUUCUUCCAUUCUUUGAUGAACAUGUGUUCACCGGUUUUAGAAAUCCGAUAUGCACAGGUGAGCUCCCUAGAUUUACCUGGUAGUAUGUUCAGAACUGUAAGGCGACCAUUCAGAUACAUCAGAUGAGGCACACAAUCCAUCGGGAGUUUCUGUUGAAAAACAUAGUAAUAACUUCAUAGUUAGCAAUGAUGUACUAGUUUUAGAAGUAUGCAAAAGAUGCACGGAUGUCGUAAUAGUAAAAAAUCUUACAAGGGUAUCUCCAGAGAAGUUACCGUGGUUCAACACGUGCACUAGUGGCACGUAUUCACCAUAAUUUGGAGGAGUUCGAUAAUAGUUAUUGUAAUCCUCAAGAAGAGUACAAAAUGCGAUCUGAUGAUUUUUCUCCUUAUAAGUUAAUUCGGAGCCAUCAGUGUAGUGGGUUUUGUCUACCAUCUUCCGCACAGUCUUUGAAGAAUCAAAAUAAGCUGUCAAUGGAAAUAAGUUGUCAACUAUUUUGAAAUAAACAUUAUAAAUUAGUUAAUAACUAUGUUUGAGAAACUCACAUAGCGGUACAAUCGGAAGCAUAUCAACAAGGACCCAAAUGUCCAUAUUGUCUUGCUCGAUGUCAGGAUUACCAAGAUCCAUGGUGACAAUCAUACCCUCAUAAAAACCAUACAUUUUGCAAAGUGCUUCCCAAUUUUGGCAACCAAAAUGGGUUACACUCUGAGCAUUGCACAAAUUUACUUCAAAAUCCAUAUCAUGAUGGGUCCUUAGGUGUAUUUUCUUUGUUUCAAAAUUUUCAUGGUCUUCAAAACCCAUCCUCUCCAAGACAUAGCGUCUUGCAUGGCAUGGGAUAAGCUAGUCAAAUUGUAAAAGAUGAAAAUUAGACGUUGAAAUAGUUGAAGUCAUGCUUAAUUACGAAAAAAAACACUUGUCAUUGUUCCGUACCGUUUCAACAUCGAAGGUCUCCUCGAGCUUAAUGCUGAAGCGCCGAUCUUCAUCCAGCUCAACGAACCUAUCGCACAUACCUCGAUCGUCGUGGCACCAGCUGCACUCCCCCGGGAGACUGUCGUCGUCCGAGUACGACAUUUCCUACGUUCAUAAUUCAAAGAUUAAACUUGUACAUAUUCUAGCACAAGUCGUGCCAGAAUUCACGGAAAAAUCCGGCAUGACCUUUGCGAAAAAAGGACAUAUCGAGCGCCUGAAAUUUGCCGGAACGGAAAUUAAUCAACACUCCGGCAAAACAUAGGCCACUCGGAGGUGUAACCAAAACAUGAAAUAAUUGAUGAAACUAAAAAAUAACAACAAAUAUGACAUGUUCAACUAGUUCUAUUAAUUCAACUAGUUCUUACUAAUUAUAAACUUACUAUAAAUAGAAAGAAACUAGUUCUUUCUAAAAAUAAAGUAGUUCAACUAGUUAUUAAUUUACUUACUAAACUAGUUCAACUAAAACUAAACUAGUUCAACUAAAACUAAACUAGUUCUAUUAAUUCAAUUCGUUCUUACUAAAUAUAAACUUACUAUAAAUAGAAAGAAACUAGUACAUCUACUACUACUAAUUAACAUCUACUACUACAUCUACUACUAAUUAACAUCUACUACUGCUAAUUAUACAACUAGUUUACCAUCACUACUACUAAUUAAUAUCCACUACUACUAAAAAUCAUUAUCUAUGAACCCUAAAUUAACAUCUACUAGUACUAAAAUCAUCUACUAACUAAGCAAAGAGGGAGGGGUAGGGGAGGGGUGGGGGGCUUACAGAGGGAGAGACGGUGGCGGGGAGGUGCUCAGCGACGAAGGUAGGGGCGGCGAGGGUGGGCUCGGGAUCGGGAGGCGGCGGUCCUGGAGUAGGUCGAGAGCGGCGGCGGGCGGCGGCGGUGAGGGUGUGGUCGAGAGCGGCGACAGGCGAGGAGGCGGCGAGGGUGUGGUCGAGAGCGGCGGCGGGCCGCAACGGUCAGGUUGAGUGCGGGCUCGGGCGGCGGCGGUGAGGGCAGGCUCGGGCUCGGGCGGCGGCGACAGGAGUAGGGGAACAGGCCGGGGGGUGAAAGGAGGACUUAGCAAAAAUUUUGAGCUGGGGGUGGUUAAGUCGAACUAGCAGUAGCGCUCAUAAGGAAAAUGCGCUAUAGCUAACUUAUCUAUAGCGUGUUCUAGUGAAAAAUGCUACUGCUAAUGGAAGCAGUUAUUUCUUUUAUUUAUCCCAAUAUCAGUAACGCUUUGUCCUGAAAAAAUGCUCUAAGUCUAAGCAAUGUAAAAACAUCAAAAAUAUACAUUGGUCAUCAUUGAUCUUUUUGUUUAGAAUCUAAAUAGUCAACAUGAAUCCUCACUGUACCUGUAUAGGUACAGGCGAGGAUUCAUAUUGCAGCCACAAAUCAUACACAUAUAGUUCAAUGAAGACCAAGUGCUCGAGAUAGGUUGAGAAGUAACAUAUUUAAGGUGGUAAACACCUUGUUCUCCUAGCAGUAUGGGACUAAACUUAAUUAGUUGCGGUGAUACUUAGCAGUAGCGAGUUUUGAUGAAAAACGCUGCUACUAAGUACUUUAGCAGUAGCGCGUCCCUUGGAAGGGCGCUACUACUAUAUCUAGCCUGGAGGCAACACCGUGGCAAUUAUAGUAGUAGCGCUCGUUUCACCUAGAGCGCUACUGCUAAUUAUAUAUUAGUAGCGCUCUUUACUGAAGCUUGCUACUGCUAAUUAGCAGUAGCGUCUGUUUUUAAACCACACUGCUGCUAAGAUUCUGUGUAUAAGGUUUUCCCUAGUAGUGAUUCUAUAAAGCCAUACUCAAAAGAUUUAAAUGAAGUGCAAUGAGAAUUCUAUAAAUCAACCAGGGACUAUCUCAUACCAGCAUGGUGCAUAAAACAAAAGUGAAAACUAAAUGCAAAAGACGCUCCAAAACUUGCACAUAAUGCAUGAACGAAAUGAAUCCGAAAACAUACCGAUACUUGUUGAAGAAAGAGGGGAUGCCUUCCGGGGCAUCCCCGAGCUUAGACGCUUGAGUCUCCUUGAAUAUUUACUUGGGGUGCCUUGGGCAUCCCCAAGCUUGAUCUCUUGCCUCUCUUCCUUUUCCUCAUAUCGAAACCUCCUCGAUUAGACACUUCAUCCACACAAAACUUCAACGAAAAACUCGGUAAGAUCCGUUAGUAUAAUAAAGCAAAUCACUACUCUAAGUACUGUUGCAAACCAAUUCAUAUUUUUUUUUUGCAUUGUGUCUACUGUAAUAUAACUUUUCCAUGGCUUAAUCCACUAAUAUAAAUUGAUAGUUUCAUCAAAACAAGCAAACUAUGCAUCAAAACAGAAUCUGUCAAAAAUAGAACAUUCUGUAGCAAUCUGAACAUUCACCAUACUUCUGUUACCCCAAAAAUUCUACCAAAAUUAGGAAAACUAAACAAGUUGUACAGCAAGACAGUGCAAAAGGAGUCAGAACCGUUUGACUUUCCAGUUAGAAAUGUAAAAUCGCACACUACAGCCAAAGAUUCUGUCCUGCACCAUACAAACCAACAAGCAUUGUAAACAUCCUAAAGGCAAACCUUGGCACAUUACUUUUAUAAUACAAUGGAAUUGUACAAGGGGAUAAUUAUUUUUGAUGGAAAGUUUCUGUAAUCAAGAUUCACAAAGUUUCCGUGAGCAUGAACAAAGUUCAAGGAGCUCUCCCACAUCAACAAUGCUUAUCUCUCUCACUUUCACUUUCCUUUUUGAAAAUUUUUUAGGUUCCCCUCUUUAUUAUUUUUUUGUUUUUAAACUAUAUGAAAGCACUCAACAGAAAUAAAUGACUCUCUAAAACUUCCGGGUUGUCUCCCUGGCAGCGCUUUCUUUAAAGCCAUUAAGGUAGGCAUAUAGUGCUCAAGUAAUGAAUCCACCCGGAUCCCAAGGUAUAUCAAAGCCAAUUUUAAUUAACAAUGAUUUGUAAUUUAGUAGUGAGCACAAAGUAUUAUAUAUCAAGCAACAACGAAGUCUAACUCUCUUCCUAUGCAUCGGCAUGUCAUAAAAGAACAAUUCAUGCACACAUAAUAAAGGCCAACGCAUAGUAUAAGUAGUUUCUUGCAAUUUCAUAGUAUGGGAAACAUAGAGAGGUGGAUAAAUAGUUCCUCUCUCAUAAUAAUUGCAAGUAGGAGCAGCAAGCACAUGCAUAUUACAUUCAUCAAAAUCAUCAUGUGCAAUGGUAAAAGGCAACCCAUCAAUAUAAUCCUUAAUAAGCAUAAACUUCUCCGAUAUAGUGUAGUAGGGAGAAUUCAGAAAGAUAAUAGGACUAUCAUGCGUGGGUGCAAUAGCAACAAUUUCAUGUUUAACAUAAGGAACUAUAGCAAGUUCAUCUCCAUAAGCAUAAUUCAUAUUGGCAUCUCGGCCACAAGCAUAGCAAGCAUCAUCAAAAAGGGAUAUUUCAAACAAAUUCAAGGGAUCAUAGCAAUCAUCAUAGAAUCAUCCUUCAGUAAGCACGAAGGGGAAUUAAAUAAUGUAUGAGUUGGAGGGUUACUCUCAUUAGAAGCUGGGCACGGGUAGCUAAUCCGCUCUUCCUCCUUUUGUUCUUCGCUCUCCUCAUCAUCUUUUUCCAAUGAGCUCACAGUUUCAUGAAUUUCUUCUUCCAUAGCUUCCUGCAAAAUAUUAGUCUCUUCUUGGACAGCAGGGUAGGCCUCAAUAUAUAGUUUAACAUAGGCAUUAGAAGCAUAAUUAUCAUAGCAAUAUUCAAGUAUGGCAAAAUUUUCAGAUUUGUAGAGAGUAGCAUCAUAUUUUUCAAUCAAAGAAGCAAUUUCAUAUGCACCCUUAAAAGCAACAAAUUCUUCAAUUUGUUGAACAUCAUAGUAAUUAUAAACACCCUUAGCAUAUGAAUAUACGAUUCCAUUAUCACUAAACAAGAAUUGUUAGGGAAGGUGUUUCUUAGGGUUUUCAGAACAACAAGUAACAUCAUAUAAUUCACAUAAAGUCCAAGCAUAGCAUUGCAAACAUUAAAUUUGAUCCCAUAAUAGUUUCCCUUUUUCAUAUAUACGGUGUCGCACAUAACAAGCAUGCUCAUCUAAAGAUUUGCCCUCAACUAAGCUAGUUGGGGUUUCAGCACGAGCACAAAGGGAUCGAAGAUGAUCCAAGUAAAAAGCUUCAGUAGUGUGAUAGAUUUUGAGUGGUUCUUCAACCAUUGGUGCAGUAGGUACAACUAAUUUUUUUGGUAUUUUGCGUUUCCUACCCAUAACUAAAGAUAGAAAACAACUAAGAACAGCAAAUAAAAAUUACUUAGUGAUAAAGCAAACAAGCACAAACGAGAAUAUUCACCCCACGCUAUGACUCCCCGGCAACGGCGCCAGAAAAAGGUCUUGAUAACCCACAAGUAUAGGGGAUCGCAACAGUUUUCGAUAAGUAAGAGUGUCGAACCCAACGAGGAGCUAAAGGUAGAAUAAAUAUUCCCUCAAGUUCUAUCGGCCACCGAUACAACUCUACGCACACUUGACGUUCGCUUUAACUAGAACAAGUAUGAAACUAGAAGUACUUUGUAGGUGUGAUAGGAUAGGUUUGCAAGAUGAUAAAUAACACGUAAAUAAAAAGUAGGGGCUGUUUAGAUAAAGAUGCAAUAAAGUAAAUAUAGCGAGUGUGGAAAAGUGGUGGUAGGAGUUGUGGAAUUGUCCCUAACCAAUUGACUAUGUUACUAGACCGGUAAUCACUAUUGCAAUUCUAUUUGAGGGAGAGGCAUAAGCUAACAUACUUUCUCUACUUGGAUCAUAUGCAAUUAUGAUUGGAACUCUAGAAAGCAUCCGCAACUACUAAAGAUUCAUUAAGGUAAAACCCAACCAUAGCAUUAAAGCAUCAAGUCCCCUUUUAUCCCAUACAUAAACAACCUACUUACUCUGGUAUGUGCUUCUGUUCACUCACUCCACCCACCAUAAGCAAAUCAUAAACAUAUUGCAAACCCUACAGCGGGAAUCCCUCACGCUUGCGCGACAUGGAGGGCACCAUAGGAGAGAACCAAUAAUAAAACAUGCAACUCAAACCAAUCAUAGCAAUUCAUCAAUCACCGAUAGGACAACGAAAAUUUACUCAGACACCAUAGGAUGGCAACACAUCAUUGGAAAAUAAUAUGAAGCAUAAAGCACCAUGUUCAAGUAGAGAGUACAGCGGGAUGCGGGAGAGAGGACCGCUGAAUAUAGACGAGGGAAGGUGAUGGACAUGUUGGUGAAGACGGCGGAGGUGUUGGUGUAGAUCGCGGUGAUGAUGAUGGCCCCCGACAGCGUUCCGGCGCCACCGGAAGCAAGGGGGAGAGGGCCCCCCUUCUUCUUAUUCUUCCUUGACCUCCUCCCUAGAUGGGAGAAGGGUUUCCCCUCUGGUCCUUGGCUCCCAUGGCUUGGUAGGGGCGAGAGCCCCUCCGAGAUUGGAUCUAUCUCUCUGUUUCUGCGUUCUUUGAUUCUACCCCUUCACCGUUUCCUUUAUAUCUGGAGAUCCGUAACUCCGAUUGGGGUGAAUCUUUUGCCCAGAUUUUUCUCGUAAAAUUAGCUUUCUUGCGGGUGGCCCAGGAGAGCCCAGGGCGCGCCCAGGGGUAGGGGGCGCGCCCCCCUGUCUCAUGGCCACCUCGGACACUGUUUCGCGUUGAUUCUUCCUCCGGAAAAUCCCAAAUAUUCCAAAAUAAUUCUCCGUCCGUUUUUAUCCCGUUUGGACUCCGUUUGAUAUUGGUUUUCUGCGAAACAUAAAACAUGCAACAAACAGGAACUGGCACUGGGCACUGGAUCAAUAUGUUAGUCCCAAAAAUAGUAUAAAAAGUUGCCAAAAAUAUAUGAAAGUUGAAGAAUAUUGGCAUGGAACAAUCAAAAAUUAUAGAUACGACGGAGACGUAUCAAACACCAUUUUGUCUUUCAAAACAUAAAGAAAAAAGGUAUACCACAAACAGUUUACUAGAAAGAAUCGUGUGGGAUGCAAUAUAAAACAUCUUGGCGCACCGUCUUGUCUGGCUUACGCAGGAAGCUUCGUGGUCUACAGUCCAUCGCUCCCACUUGAACCACACUUGCGCGCAAGUUUCUCGCGGCACCGAGCGAAAAAAAUUUGCCACCGUGGAAAUAUCUAUCUCCCCACCCCCUCCGUCCCACCAAAAGCCACAUUUCCAUUGUUCCACCUUGCUUUCCAAGUUCAAACCUUCACUUCUGCUUACUGGCAGCUCAGCCUCCUCGGCGGCGACCCUUCUUCUUGUAGCGCCACCUCCUUGCCAGCUACCCUUCUUCUUGCAGCUCCGCCUCCUCGUCGGUGACCCUUCUUCUUGCUGCGCGUCCUCCUCACCGCUGACCCUUCUUCUUGCUAUGUAGCCUCGUCGAUAUGGUCAGGUAAUCCACAUCCCACCCACACCAUCCUCCUUCUUUCCCGUCCCACAUGCCCCGACCGACGGCGCGAAACCUUCCGCCGAAAUCACUGUCCCCCUACUCCAACUAAGCACCGCCCACAGCCAUUUUGCAUGCAGUAUAACAUGGAGCUCAGUAGCAUAUGGUAGCGGAGAAGCAAAUUACGGCCGCAGACGCGCACGAGGUUUCUAUGGCUGCCAUGCGUGCCGACCGCCAAAACUUGGAGGAGCACCUUGUCUUCGAGGCCAUCAUCGACACCGCCACGCGGUUGUCCACUUUAAAAUACAGUUUGUGCUGUUUUCUUGAGGCCACCGCCAAUGUCUUCUAGUGAUUUGCCCUCUGUAAUGCUAAUAUGCAAUCUGAUGUUCAGUUUAUAGUUUGGUCCUCUGAAAUGUAAUGUUCAGUUAACAGUUUGGUCCAACAAUUGCUGCAUUUCGUAGAAGUUUUCUCAAGCAUUUUUGUUUUGUUAACUGUCUUAUCUUCUAGUACAUGUUUCUAUUCUGCAAUGUCGGGCUUAGUUAACUAUUUUGAUUCAUUUGGUAUGUUGUCCAUUUAACUGUUUGGUACAGUUCUGCAAUUUGAUUUCCAUUUGCUGUGGGUACAAUUUUGUAUUGUUACGCAUGUGAAAUAAAUUGAAUUUGGCUUUACUCAAUAGAUAUUCUAUUGAUAUUAUGACAACUCUUAGUUAACCUGGUCAAGAUCUUCCUUAUGUGUGUUGCUAGGAAACAAUGGGACACACCGCGGUUUACCAUCGAGGUUUGUUCAAGCAUGGUCCUUUGGCUAAUAGCACAUUAUUGUGGAUUUGCAGGAAUCAUUCUAAUAUUUAGGUUUCUUACAAUUUGGUCUUGCACAUGUAGGUCCUGCUAUCAGAGGCUUGGACCCACUAUUCGACCCAUUUUGCAUAUGAGGAAAUGAGAUGUCUGUGAAUAUAAGUCAAGUUAAGAAACUCAGAAAGAUUGUUAGGAUGAAGAAACUUGCGAAGAAUAACAGCAAGAUCUUUGUUUGCACAAUGAAGAAGACAUCAGUCAAUUAUAGGAUGGUACUAACUCUUUUACCUUGUUUUUACCCCUUGCACCAUCAGUCGACUAUAGGAUGGUACUAACUCUUUUACCUUGUUUGCAUAUCUUUGUUUUCAGAACUUUUCAAAAUAGUUCACCAAUGAUUACCUCUCAAACCACCUGCAUGGUCAAGAGGCGAGGAAGGUAUUCAUUCAACACCCACGAUACAACAUUGAAGUCUUGCUGAAGAGGACGAAGGUUGGACGGGCAAUUAUCCAUAGCCACUGGCCUAAAGUUGCAAGGACAUUCAACAUGACUGAAGUCUCAACUUUGCCUUCCGCUUUUGCACUUUCCCAGAUGAGAUUCAUCUAUCUAUUUACCGUGUAUGAUGCUAUUCCAAAGGUUUUUGAUGUUGCAUGUGUAACUUGGUGCUGUUGUGUAAUGGCAGAACUGAGUGCUGAAGCUAUUUGAUGUAAUUCGAUUAUGAAAUCCUGGUUGCUGUAAUACGGAUAUGAAAUAUCUAGUGUGUUUUAUAAGAAAUAUCAAUUUGAUUAGUACAUGGAUUAUCAGUAAUAGGCUAAUUACCCUGCUUAUUGGGGUUUUCUGUUGCAGACGGUUACUCAGACAACACCAUGGGCGAUGAACUCAAACAACACGCACAGUUUCUAGAAAGUAGGUGUGUUCGGUCAACUAACAAUCACACAUGGCUUCCGGUAGAGAAUUGUUUGCGUUAGGCCACCUUGCACAAAUGUUUCCACACAAAAAACUGUGUGAUAUACAUACGAGCGGAAAUGUUUUUUCUGGGAUUCAUCAUGUGGGAUGUACAUACGAACGGAAACAAUUGGGUUUCGAUGCCCCACCAGAUCGCACACGAACUCAUUUUUCCCCAGCCAGUGUGCCAGGAGGGCCUAUCCCCGACGGUUUCUGGGUCGUAUGGGAAGGACCCCCCCCCCCCAUCGCCCACACNNNNNNNNNNNNNNNNNNNNNNNNNNNNNNNNNNNNNNNNNNNNNNNNNNNNNNNNNNNNNNNNNNNNNNNNNNNNNNNNNNNNNNNNNNNNNNNNNNNNNNNNNNNNNNNNNNNNNNNNNNNNNNNNNNNNNNNNNNNNNNNNNNNNNNNNNNNNNNNNNNNNNNNNNNNNNNNNNNNNNNNNNNNNNNNNNNNNNNNNNNNNNNNNNNNNNNNNNNNNNNNNNNNNNNNNNNNNNNNNNNNNNNNNNNNNNNNNNNNNNNNNNNNNNNNNNNNNNNNNNNNNNNNNNNNNNNNNNNNNNNNNNNNNNNNNNNNNNNNNNNNNNNNNNNNNNNNNNNNNNNNNNNNNNNNNNNNNNNNNNNNNNNNNNNNNNNNNNNNNNNNNNNNNNNNNNNNNNNNNNNNNNNNNNNNNNNNNNNNNNNNNNNNNNNNNNNNNNNNNNNNNNNNNNNUAAAUCCUAAAAGAUUCCCAAACCAUCAGAGGAAUCCACAAAAGUACUUUUUCGCAGCUGCAAGCCUCUGUUCCCGUGAGAUCCCGUCUUGGGGCCUUUUUCGGUGAUCUUUCGGAGGGGGAAUCGAUCACGGAGGGCAUCUACAUCAACUUUGUUGCCCUUCCGAGGAAGCAUGAGUAGUUUACCACAGACCUACGGGUCCAUAGAUAGUAGCUAGAUGGCUUCUUCUCUCUCUUUGAUCGUCAAUACAAUGUUCUCCUUGAUGUUCUUGGAGAUCUAUCCGAUGUAAUCUUAUUUUGCGGUGUAUUUGUCGAGAUCCAAUGAAUUGUGGUUUUAUGAUCACCUUUUCUAUGAAUAUUAUUUGAAUCUUCCCUGAAUUCUUAUAUGCAUGAUUUGAUAUCUUCGUAUUUCUCUUCGAGGUCUGCAUUGUCUUAGUUCGAACAGUAUCACAAAGCCAUUUGCAGAUAUGUGAAAGUAUUUUUCUCUCAAAGAAAGGGAGGGCCCUUAAGAACUGCAGAUAGGGUGUGUCAGGUACAUCCUUGCUGGCAUGGGUAUAAAGAUAGCUUGUUCUAUGGUUAAGUUUAUAGACAUGAUCAUCUGAGCUAGUUCUAGCAAUGAUACGAAAAUAUAGCAGAAUAUGAACACACGCUUGUGGUUUGUGGUGAACUAAAACUACUAGUAGAAUGCCCGUGCGUUGCUACGGGCUUUUGAAAUAUUUUCCUUGAGUUAUGUGAACAUCAUUGAACAUACUCAUCAGAAUACCAGUUGGAAAUAAAUGUUGCCAUAAACAUUUAUCAUAAUUCCAGCCAGUUUGCUUUAUUUUGAGUGUGUUGUUGUUGUGGGAUAUCAUCACUUGCACAUUUUUUGUUGUAUAAAACAUGGUGAAUUUUUGUCCCCUUCCAAUGAUGUCGCCCCAAAAACCCUCUGAAUGGGUUUCUUUUUGAACCCGACAUAAUCCAUCUCCAUCUCUCUCAUAUUCUACAAAAUUAAAUACAUAUAUAGAAGUAUACCUUUUGAGUAUUAUAUCAUGUGCAACAUACUACAAAGAAGAACAAUUAUUUGCAUGCACCUCUUUUGGUUGUGUAAAACUCGUUGAAUUCUUAGCCCCCUCCAUCAUCGUUACAUCAGGGUCUUUGUCAGUCGACAUCUCCGAAGCACAAUCAAAUCCAUCAGUUUUUAUGACCUACAAAGGUAUUCUAAUAUAAACAAAGAUUAGAAUACCUUUUUUAUGAUGGUGGUAUGGAAAAUAUAUAUUCAUUGGACAAAUUCUAGAAAUGAGCAGUUUCUAGUAGAUUGAGUGGCAUCCCAAUUUUAAUAAUUUUAGGCUCACCUCUAAAUCACAUGUUGAUGGUUAUUCUUACGAAUAUCUAUUAUUUAGGGUAUGUGGUAUAUCGCCCUUAAAAUACUAUGUUACAUUUCUCCACGAGCAAAGAACGGAUUUCCCCUUUAUAUAAUGAUAGUCGGUCAUCCGUAAUUUCUUGGAUAUUUUUAAGUAAUUUAUUGAGAAAAUAUUUUAUGCCAUUCUGAAUAUAUAUAUAGUGUACACGUAUAAAUAAAGCUUUAUUUUUAUGAUAUUCCCAUUAUACCCCUCCUAUACAACUUGUUGUCCUCUCCUGCACGGCCGCACUCUAUCCACUCCCUCUCCGCACCACUCACUCUCUUGUUCCCCUCCCUCUCUAGAUCCAUAGACUUCACCGCCGUCGCUCACUCUCCUCUCUCCGCCCUCGCCACCACAACCAACAGAAUCGGUGACCUCAUCUCCCACCCCUCCACCCUUUCAUCCCUCCCCUCUUCUCACCAAAAUUAGUGAAGGGGGGAUCAAGAUACCAGAUGGUUUCCUGAUCCGCCCACAAACCGGCGAACAACAUCACGCCAAGGUCACCAACGCCGUCAUGAAAUGACAGGCUUCUUCCACCUCGACAGACUUGCUCGCGCACCAAGAUAUGAGAGGGGGCCUUCUACUUCCCGCUCGCUCAUCCCCUUUGGUCAAGCCAUGGAUCAACCUUCCUCUACUCUGACCCAUGCCAUGGACCGAGCGCACUUCCCUCCUCAAGGUCAUCUCUUCACCCCUUUCCUCGUGUGGCAUGUUGCACCGCUAACCCUCACCUUAUCUCCCUCCCUUUCCUCCCAUAUCGAGACAUGCAUGUGUUUCUGCUCGGCCGCUUCACCUCACCGCCGCCUUUGUGGCACGUCGGCCGGGAUUCUUCCUCAUGUCCGCUAGAUCCCAGCGUCGUCAAUUUCAUUCGACUAGGUCAAAGAAGAUGAAAGUUGCUGCAUUCCGUCAUCCACGCACCCCACUGCAAGACACCAAACACAACCGCAACAGCCGGCACGAACGCCACCCGAGAGAGAGUGAAGCGCCGACCAUCAGACACAAACCUUACCGGAUCUGAAGACCGGCAAGAAGACCGAGCCACCUGCUCCCCAGCACCGCCCAUUAGAGCGCCAUCGAGAUGGAGGUAGAGCAGAAGCAAAUUAUUUUGACGCGGCGCCGUUCACACCAUUGAUGCAGCACCUCUGGAAAAAAAAAACUAUGCCUAUCCUAUAUCCCUACCUGACAGAAACAGUUGUGACCUAUUUGUCUUGUUAAAAUAGUGGAUCAACAGCACACGAUGGUAUGUAGCAUGACUCUGCACAGAUAGCUUUCUUAUAAAUUUGUGGCAUGGAGGUUUCGUGGUGUAGUUGGUUAUCACGUCAGUCUAAUUUGUGGCAUGGAGGUUUCGUCAUGUAGUUGGUUAUCAUCCCUUCUCGAUGUAAUAGAGAAUGUAAUAGGCCUUUUGGUUCUCUUGAGUUAUUUUAACUUCUAUAUUGGAAAGAACUGAAUAUUAUGUACCUUCGCCAGAAGGGCUAAUGUAGUCCCUGCUAAAGUGAUCCUCCUCCUGCUAGUGAUCAGAGGCCGGUCUUUUGCUGUUGGUCUUCUCAUGCUGCGGUUUUCCUCUUCCUUAUGGUUUCAUUUGCCGCAGUAUUUUCUUUUCUUCUGAUUGCCGAGUUAUGUAGUAUUAGAUUGUCGAGUUUUGUGGUUUACAGCACAGGAUUUUGUUUUUACAAAAGGUGGAUCCCAACAAGACACGAUGGUAUGCACAUCUUAUAGUCUAUCUGUCUUAUUGAGAAAAUACAUUAAUGUCUCGUGGUGUAGUAGGUUAUCACGCCAGUCUAACACACUACAUGAAGAAGCCAAAUUGUUAUUGUUUUUUCUUUUCUGCAAAAUUACAAAAUGCACCAAUAAAUCUUUGUCAUUUGCUAGUUUCCCAUUUCAGUGCCUAUGUUUGUAAGUAUUCUUCCCUCUUGGAAUCUCCGUUUUGCCACUGUUUCUCACUUUCUGUGAUGUGAUGUGUGCGCAAAUAUUCCCACAACAACUAAACAAUAAUAAAGCCAUAUACGCAAGCGACCGAAUAAUGGCAACUUCAUAUUGCCACUCAAGGCGCAUCUCCAAACCGACCUGUCAUGUCCAUAGUUGCGUCUCAACACUCGGGGCAGAAAGGCUCGCUCUCAACCACUGCUUCAUAUCACCGGAUCCACACGGCCAAAUAGUGUCCUCCAUUUUCGAAGUGAUGACAGUAUAUCUCGUGGGAAAAUUGUUUCCACAAUUCGAUAUCCCUCCCGUUGAUGAAAAAAUCACGUUCGGCUUCGGCAUCACAGAAUGCACUUAACGAAAAUUGUUUUCUUCGUUCUGAGCUGGAAUAAUGUAUUCCCUCCCAUAAAAUAAAAUCAUCAAUAGUUCACUUCUCUAUAUACCUGGAUGGAAAGUAAUGGCCAAUGUGGAUCACCCAAGAUGGCACGCCAAGUGUUGUUUAACUCCACUAUGUAGACAAGUCAUUAUAUGCACACAAUUAUGUAAGAAAAAUAAAUAGGUCAAGAACUGUUUGGCCAUAGAUGGAGCUUUCUACAGAUGGGUACAAGAAUUUGGCACCACCCACUCAGUUUACCUCUCACCUUUUUGAUUGCUUUCAUAUGUAAAAAAUAGUGAGUGGAUUUGCGAUCUGCCUUAAAAUGACAAGACGGGGGUUGGGGGUUUUAAAAAAUUCCAAAUGCAUUCUUUAUAUUCACAUGUUUAUUUAUUUUGUAUUUGUUUGUGCAUGUCAUAAAAUCAUAAAUUUGCACAAGCAUGCAUAAUACUCAAUGAUCUACAAUGACAAUAGGCUUUAAGAUUUUUCAAAGCAUGAGAAAAAAAUCAAAUGACGUCAGCUGGAAAUUAAAGAUAUGUUCAGACUUCCAAACAAUUAUGAUCUCUUUGGUCCAAACUUCAAAGGAACCAUUAUUGAAAAUUUGGUGAUUCUAGUUGUUAGAAUAUUUUCCUACGGGACUAGUAGGGCUGGGAACCAUAAUGUUAUUCUAUGGCCAUGUAUUCGUAGGAAAAUUUAUGUCGAGCCAAAUCUUCUGGAAAUAAUUCCGUUAGUUCAAUGACAACUAUGUGCUUGCACCUAAUGUUUUGGAAAGUUCUUGUGUUUUGUUUUCCUUCUGCAGUAAAUCAACAUCCAUAUUUUAUACAUUACUCUAUCUUUAAUUCCCACGGGAUCCAACACAGCAUGGCAUGAAAUAUGUAUGUUAAUUUUUCCAGUUCCCUCUUUUAAAAAUGCCGCAAACAGAUGUGCCAUGUAAUCUUCAAAAAAAAAGUGGGAGUGAGAUAGUUAUUGAAAUGCAUGUAGGCUGGAGACUAAAAUUUCAGUAAAAUUCAGCUUAUAACACUAAAACUGAAAAGGUUGUCAAACCUAUGGCAACCAAGAGCCAGCAAGAUUUUUUAAAGAAAAAAUAUUUUCGGCGACCUCCACCUAAGAAGUCCUAGCUUUUUUCCUUGUCCUGACAUUCAAAAAACACUGAGUGAUGGUUAUCAGCCGAAUAUAUUCACUAAGGGCAUGCACGAAAGAGAGCUAUUUAUUUAUUGCUAAGGUUUCAGAAUUUAGUUUGAUUUUGAUUUAAUUUGAAAUUCAUAAUUUACCGAGAAAUACAACUAUAAAUUCAAGCAUCCCUAAACUAAAUAAAAACGUAUCUAUAUUUGGAAAAAUUUGAUGUUUUUUUAUAAACUUGUUAAAACAUGGAAACAUUUGACAUUUGAAAAAAAAAAUCAGUACAGCUAAUAUUUUGAAAAAGGAAGUUAGUACGUACACCAAUAAUUCGAUAUACCCACAAAAUAUUGGCCGUAGUUCCUUUAGUGGUUCCUUUGAUGUAAGAAACAAGCUAGUAGAGACAAAGGGAAUCAAAUCAUGGGAGGAGGUGGCCCUAUCCUUAUUCCUCUUCCCCACGCGGUUGCUCUCGUCCAUCCUUUACCAAAAGUGCAGCAUCUCUCAUCUCCGUCUUCAUCUUCUCUUCCUCCUCCUUCCUUGAUGCUCACUCGCCUAUAAAUAGCCCUCGCUGCCUGCCAUUGUUACUCAAGCCAGCAAGCAAGAAGCACACAGGAAGCUCCUAGCCAACACCAAUCAAAGCCUCCAUCCAAUCCCAAGCAACCUCGAGGAUGUCUUGCUGCGGAGGAAACUGCGGCUGCGGCAGCGCCUGCAAGUGCGGCAACGGCUGCGGCGGCUGCAACAUGUACCCGGAGGUUGAGGCCGCCGGCGCCACCCUCCUCGUCUCCGCCACCGCCACCCACAAGGCGUACGUCCCUUCUGUUUCCUCAUACAUCAUGCGCCCGCUAUAAUAUGACUAUAUAUGUUGAUCUUGCUAUGGGACUAAGGAUUGAUGGAUGGGUGCAGGAGCUCGGGCGGGAUGGAGAUGGCGGCGGAGAACGGCGGCUGCGGCUGCACCCAGUGCAAGUGCGGCACCAGCUGCGGCUGCUCCUGCUGCAGCUGCUAGAUCUAUCAUCGGUCAUGCAUGCACCGCGCGCAUCAUAUCUAUGAUCUAUCUACAAUCUACUUACCAUGUAACGCCACCUGAUCGAGGGUCUUUGUAUGUAUGUAAGCACCUGCCAGCAUGAGCAGAGCAGGUGCACUGCCAUGCAUGUAAACCGACCCCUAAAUAAAAUCUCCCGUGGUUUAACCUAUACUUGUGUUUGUACUAUCAACUUGCGAGGUGCCUGGGUUGUUACUAGACCAGCUGAAUGCUCUCUUGAAGCAACGUAUGCACCGCUUGGAAUCGGU
rnacentral:lncRNA from 1 species